UACGGAGGGUGCAAGCGUUAAUCGGAUUUACUGGGCGUAAAGCGCACGCAGGUGGACUGUCAAGUCGGAUGUGAAAUCCCCGGGCUCAACCCGGGAACUGCAUUCGAAACUGGAAGACUAGAGUCUUGUAGAGGGGGGUAGAAUUCCAGGUGUAGCGGUGAAAUGCGUAGAGAUCUGGAGGAAUACCGGUGGCGAAGGCGGCCGCCUGGACAAAGACUGACGCUCAGGUACGAAAGCGUGGGGAGCAAACAGG
rnacentral:rRNA from 1 species